UACGGAAGGCAGCAGUGGGGAAUAUUGCACAAUGGGCGCAAGCCUGAUGCAGCCAUGCCGCGUGUAUGAAGAAGGCCUUCGGGUUGUAAAGUACUUUCAGUCGUGAGGAAGGUGUUAAGGUUAAUAACCUUAGCAAUUGACGUUAGCGACAGAAGAAGCACCGGCUAACUCCGUGCCAGCAGCCGCGGUAAUACGGAGGGUGCGAGCGUUAAUCGGAAUUACUGGGCGUAAAGGGCACGCAGGCGGCUAAUUAAGUUGGAUGUGAAAUCCCCGGGCUUAACCUGGGAAUGGCAUUCAAGACUGGUUAGCUAGAGUCUUGUAGAGGGGGUAGAAUUCCAUGUGUAGCGGUGAAAUGCGUAGAGAUGUGGAGGAAUACCGGUGGCGAAGGCGGCCCCUGGGACAAAGACUGACGCUCAUGUGCGAAAGCGUGGGGAGCAAACAGGAUUAGAUACC
rnacentral:rRNA from 1 species